rnacentral:rRNA from 1 species
AAGUGCUUACGGGGGGCAGCAGUGGGGGAUACUGCACAAUGGGGGGAACCCUGAUGCAGCGACGCCGCGUGAGGGAUGAAGGUCUUCGGAUCGUAAACCUCUGUCAGCAGGGAAGAACGGUCACUGUGCUAAUCAGCAGUGAAUUGACGGUACCUGCAAAGGAAGCACCGGCUAACUCCGUGCCAGCAGCCGCGGUAAUACGGAGGGUGCGAGCGUUAAUCGGAAUUACUGGGCGUAAAGCGCUCGUAGGCGGUAUGUCAAGUCAAGGGUGAAAUCCCCGCGCUCAACGUGGGAACUGCCUUUGA